rnacentral:rRNA from 1 species
GACGAACGCUGGCGGCGUGCCUAAUACAUGCAAGUUGAGCGAUGAAGAUUGGUGCUUGCACCAAUUUGAAGAGCAGCGAACGGGUGAGUAACGCGUGGGGAAUCUGCCUUUGAGCGGGGGACAACAUUUGGAAACGAAUGCUAAUACCGCAUAAUAACUUUAAACAUAAGUUUUAAGUUUGAAAGAUGCAAUUGCAUCACUCAAAGAUGAUCCCGCGUUGUAUUAGCUAGUUGGUGAGGUAAAGGCUCACCAAGGCGAUGAUACAUAGCCGACCUGAGAGGGUGAUCGGCCACAUUGGGACUGAGACACGGCCCAAACUCCUACGGGAGGCAGCAGUAGGGAAUCUUCGGCAAUGGACGAAAGUCUGACCGAGCAACGCCGCGUGAGUGAAGAAGGUUUUCGGAUCGUAAAACUCUGUUGAUAGAGAAGAACGUUGGUGAGAGUGGAAAGCUCAUCAAGUGACGGUAACUACCCAGAAAGGGACGGCUAACUACGUG